rnacentral:lncRNA from 1 species
CCAGAAAUGGAUGGGUUCGAAGUGGCAACGCGAAUCCGGAAGAUCCGAAGUCGUAGUUGGCCAUUGAUUAUAGCUGUGACUUCCAGUGCUGAGGAUAAUGUUUGGGAGAGAUGCCUGCAGAUGGGAAUGAAUGGAAUGAUCCGAAAACCUGUUCUCUUACAAGGGAUGGCAGAUGAGCUUCAAAGAGUUCUUCAGCGGCCCGGCGAGGGAUGACCGGACAUUGUUUUAUAGAGCAAUCUUUCAAGGGUCAUCACUGCUCUUAAAUCAAACAAAUCCAGCAUGGAGAUGUUUAACUUUUAGCGUUAUACUUCAUGGUAUACAAAGUGUAAACUUUUACCUCUCUCUAACGCUAGAAUUUCAUAGAAUGGAUAAUGACUCAUGAGAAACAGCAAUUUUUAUAUAACAGCAAAAGGAACCUGAAAAAUUAUUCAGAGAAGUGAAAUAAUACAGAGACUAAAUCUUCCAGAUGUGCUCAAGCUAGUUGGAUAUUUCUUGGCCCAGUUGCUUUUACUAAUUGUUAUUUUAUACAGGUUAACAUGGUCUGUGAUUACUGUCUGCUACACCUUUCAUCUCUCUGAAAAAAUAGUAACUUCCAGCAUUCAGGAACAAAGGGUAGCCCACUCUGAUCAAACGUGAAACGUCAAAAACAUGAUUUUGAAUUGGGUCAGUCACUUGAGCUUAUAGUAGUCAGACCUGGCCUGGGGUCUGAUCUUAAAAUCUCGAAAAGAGCUCAAGUUAUGAGUUAAUCAAUCUGGAUUUUCAAAACUUUUUUUUUAGAAGGAAAGAUAUUUCCUAGUUUUGAUUUGGUUAAGUUUUAACAAGAGUAAAUUGGAUUGUAGGAAGAUUAUUUGGGAUUAACCAUAUUAAUAUCAAAAUUAAUAUAAAUUAAAACUUAACCCGAAUCUGAUUUUAAAUUACAUAUUUACUAAAUCAAAUCACCUUACUACAUCUAUAGUUAAGACAAUACACAUGCUACUAUAAGAUUACUUUUAACUUCGAAACCUUUUUGUGCUUAGAUGUAGGAGAAUGUUUUAUGAACUAUAAUUAUAAAGAUAUCAUUUAUUUUUGGGUUUGAAAAUGCAUUUAAGAAUGUUUUAAAAAUGUGUUUGAUUCAAAAGAAUAUUGAUGAUUUUUUAAUAUUUUUCAAUGAUUUUGAUAUGUUGAUAUUAAAAAAAAAAUUAUUUUUAUAUAUUUUCAAGUGAAAAAUACCUUAUACUAUAAUACCAAACACACAUACAUUUUUAUAGUAACCUUGUUAUUGAAAAAAAUAUGAAGAGAGCGUUCCCAAACGCGGUUUCAACCGCGUUCCCUCAAAUAUCAAUUUUUUUUGUUAAAAAUUAUUUUUUUAUAUUUUUAAAUUAUUUUAAUAUAUUGAUUUUAAAAAUAAUUUUUAAAAAUUAAAAAAAUAUCAUAAUUCCAAACAUGUCCGAAGUUUUGAUAUGUGAUAAGCCACAUGAAACAGUACACUUCCAACUCAAACAUCCAAUAAGUUUUCGUUUUAUUUCUUGGCAUUUUAUCCUGUCGUCUUCUUCAUUGCUUCUCUCCCACAUACAAUGAAAAAUGGACUGUGUCAAACUAUCAAUUAUCAGCCCAGUUGUCAUGCACAUUUCAUUUUACAUUUCCCUUCCCCUCGACAUGUACAAAAACACAGCCUGCAAAAACCAGCUAGCUGGGUCAACCUGGUGACUCAAAUCGAGUUUGCUUUUUAUGUAGGUAAAAAAAUUCAUCCAUCAAUUAAUUAGCGACUUAUUAAAUAAAAACUUAUUUAUUUUUAUGUUUUAAAAAUAUUUUUAAAAAUAAUUAAAUUAUUUUUAGAUUUUUUUAUUUCAAAUUAAUAUUUUUUUAGUGUUUUUAGUUCAUUUUAAUACGCUAAUAUCAAAAAUAAUUUUUAAAAAAUAAAAAAAUAUAUUACUUUAAUAUAUUUUCAAAUAAAAAUAAUAAACUAUUGUGAAAUCCGGUAAUAUCAACUCCCUAGAUUUUUUUUUUUAUUUUUUUUAUCUAAAAGAAUGUUGUGUAAGUUUUUCUUUAAAACAAUAUUAUUCAAUUAAAAAUAGAAAUUUAACAUGGCAACCCCACGACUUAUCUUUAGACUGACAAUUAGGAUAAAAAAACAAAAAACAAAAAACAAAAAACCACCAUCACCAUUCCUCAUCAAAUGGCUCAAAGGACACAACAUUAUUUUAGUGUGAUUGGUAAUGGAAAGCAAAGUAAUUUUUUUUUAAUGUUGUCAUUUAAUUAAAAAUAUAUUAAAAUAAUAUAUUUUUAUAUUUUUACAUUAAUAUAUUAAAAAAUACCUAAAAAUAUAUUAAUUGCUGAUGAUGAUGCUUUAAACAGAACCGUUACCAAGAAGUUGCUUGAGAAGUUAGGUUGUGAAGUGACUGCUGUUUCAUCCGGGUUUGAAUGCCUUAGUGCUCUUAGCUCUGCUGAAAAUUCUUUCAGACUAGUUGUUUUAGAUAUUCAAAUGCCAGAAAUGGAUGGGUUCGAAGUGGCAACGUGAAUCCGGAAGAUCCGAAGUCGUAGUUGGCCAUUGAUUAUAGCUGUGACUUCCAGUGCUGAGGAUAAUGUUUGGGAGAGAUGCCUGCAGAUGGGAAUGAAUGGAAUGAUCCGAAAACCUGUUCUCUUACAAGGGAUGGCAGAUGAGCUUCAAAGAGUUCUUCAGCGGGCCGGCGAAGGAUUGUGAAAAUAAGUCGUAAAGAUGGCCGGUCAUUGUUUUAUAGAGCAAUCUUUCAAGGGUCAUCACUGCUCUUAAAUCAAACAAAUCCAGCAUGGAGAUG